UACGUAGGGGGCAAGCGUUGUCCGGAAUCAUUGGGCGUAAAGCGCGUGUAGGCGGCUCGAUAAGUCUGCUGUGAAAGUCCAGGGCUCAACCCUGGAAAGCCGGUGGAAACUGUCGAGCUCGAGUCCGGAAGAGGCGAGUGGAAUUCCUGGUGUAGCGGUGAAAUGCGCAGAUAUCAGGAGGAACACCAAUGGCGAAGGCAGCUCGCUGGGACGGUACUGACACUGAGACGCGAAAGCGUGGGGAGCAAACAGG
rnacentral:rRNA from 1 species